rnacentral:miRNA from 4 species
UACCCAGAGCGUGCAGUGUGAA